rnacentral:lncRNA from 1 species
UCUUGUUAAUUUAAUACGCUUGUAGAAUUCCUUCGUUCACUGUACUCUGCGUUUGUAGCAAUGACAGCGGCAGGUAACCUAGGUAUCAGUCCGCCGCUGCCGUAGCCUACGUACAGGAAUAUAAACACUGCUGCUGAGACCCCGCAAUUCCCUCAAAAUGCAAUGCAAUGCAAGGUUGGUUUUAUUUCUAACAUUAUUCUAUAAACAGACAUUUAGAUGUAUAGUCUGUCGUUAUAAUUGAUUUACCCCGGGUGUACUGUGGAGUGGGUAAGACUGUUUUUAAUUGCAGGCUAGCAUUGCCCGUUGACUUGCGCUAGCCUAGCACGAGCGAACUCUGCAACUAGAAGGACUGAAUGAAAUGUGUUGAAAACUGUCUCCAGUGAUAUAGAAUACCAAUGCUCACUUCGGAAUCAGGCCCUAUGUCCAAAAUUCCGAACUACCCCUUUAAGAUACAAGUCAACAAUUGGCUUGUACAGGCUAAAGUGCAAUAAUGAACAUGAUUAUCCAAAGACUCAGGUGACCAAUCAACAAAUAAAGGCUCAAGCUGUUCCUCCCUUUUGUGUUUUUUUGUGUUUUCUUUAGCAAACUUUUGUUAAAACUGAAGCAGACAAAUACAUACAAACAUCACAAACACAUGAAGCUGACAAAGACAAACAACAUGCAUGACAAAAACACAGAUUAUCUGAACAUGAACAACCACUAAAGGGUAUGUAAACUGAUUGUGUUAGAUUGGAACUGAUUAAGGUUAAAAAGAUUGGCCUUGAUAUUGAAAAUAGACCAGAAUGGAUACUACAAAGUUUUUUAUAAGUUUUUUUGCAUUUUUUUGAACGAUAUAAAUAAAUAGAUAGUGCUUGCUGAAGCACUUUAAUAACCCACACAAAGACAGAGACAAACACACACAAACAAGCCUCUUUCUCUCUCUUACAGAUGGCACAGGAACAGUGGCAUCACAGAGCCUCGUGAUAGAUGAGCCGGUACUGGACCUGAGGCCGGUCUGGCGGAGGGAGGGAUGUUGGCAGCGCAGGAGCCUCCGGGAACGGUGCGUCCGACAGCACCUUUCAGGUGAGGAGUCACCUUGUGGCCGAAGGAGCAGUCGCUCCUUCUGCCACUUCAGCAGCUCCUUCUGCUCUCCCUGCUGGCAGUACUGGAACAGCAGCCACACCAGCCAGCCGACAUCAUUCUCCACAAGCCACCUGAAGGUCUGACCGGCGUACUACCCGAACGUGAUGACCAGCUGACCUUUCCACAGCUCAGCCCCCGACCUCUUGGCAGCCGCCUCUGCUGUCUUGAGAUCCAGCCAUUUAGGGUCAACAACAGUGCUGCUGCGGGCCUCUGCCACAGACCUUGCUGCCUCUGUACAGUACAGCCUGGCCUCUCCUUGCCGGUACAAAAUGAUGUUGGGGUACUGGUGUAGCUGUUGAUGGCUGACCAGCGAUGGUUUAGUGGCCAAGCUCUUCCCGCAGACAUCACAGGUAAAGGUCUCCCUGGCGAUGGCAUGGAUCUGGAAU